rnacentral:rRNA from 1 species
GUACACGCUGUGACUAGCAUAUCAAUAAGCGGAGGAAAAGGAUCGGUCCCCAGUACCUACGCUUAGGAUGUUGACGAGACUGUCGAUCUCAUCUAUACAUGACUCUGUGCAUAUCAAUAAGCGGAGGAAAAGAAACUAACAAGGAUUCCCCUAGUAACGGCGAGUGAAGCGGGAAGAGCUCAAAUUUGAAAUCUUAAAGGGUUUCCCUUUACGAAUUGUAGUUUAAAGAAGUGUUUUCUGUUGAGGUUUUGGUAAAAGUUCUUUGGAAUAGGACAUCAUAGAGGGUGAGAAUCCCGUAUUUGACCUUUACUUUCAACUUUGUGAUACACUUUCAAAGAGUCGGAUUGUUUGGGAAUGCAGUCCAAAAUGGGUGGUAAAUUUCAUCUAAAGCUAAAUAUUGGCGAGAGACCGAUAGCGAACAAGUACCGUGAGGGAAAGAUGAAAAGAACUUUGAAAAGAGAGUUAAACAGUACGUGAAAUUGUCAAAAGGGAAGCGUUUGACACCAGUGUCGUUUUUCUGAAAAUCAAUUAAAGAACUGUUUAUGCUAAGCUGUUUAGACUUUAUCAGCUAUCUGUUUAGUUUUGAGCUUUUCUUUAAUGCACUUUUCAGUUAACAAGUCAACAUCAAUUUCUUUUGCUGUAAAAAAGCUUGAGGAAGGUGGCUUGAGAUUCGUCUUAAGUGUUUAUAGCCUCUUGCCUAUGCAGUCGGAGAGAUUGAGGUCUGCAGCGUAGAUCCUUCGGGGCUAAAUGCAUUUGUGCUAAGUUAUAGCAUUUCAUAGACAACUUGUUGACUAUGAUUUGUCUUGUAGCUUACUCGCUUAUGUUAUUUUACCUACGCUUAGGAUGUUGACGAGACUGUCGAUCUC